rnacentral:tRNA from 12 species
GUGCGUGUAGAUUAUAUUUGGUAAAAUCGUAAGGCUGUUAACUUUGAGAUGGUGUGUUUGCCCGCGGACG